CCUACGGGAGGCAGCAGUAAGGAAUAUUGCGCAAUGGGCGACAGCCUGACGCAGCGACGCCGCGUGGGGGAUGAAGGUCUUCGGAUUGUAAACCCCUUUCGGCAGGGAAGAUGGAACGGGUAACCGUUCGGACGGUACCUGCAGAAGCAGCCACGGCUAACUUCGUGCCAGCAGCCGCGGUAAUACGAAGGUGGCAAGCGUUGUUCGGAUUUACUGGGCGUACAGGGAGCGUAGGCGGUUGGGUAAGCCCUUCGUGAAAUCUCCGGGCCUAACCCGGAAAGUGCGGAGGGGACUGCUCGGCUAGAGGAUGGGAGAGGAGCGCGGAAUUCCCGGUGUAGCGGUGAAAUGCGUAGAGAUCGGGAGGAAGGCCGGUGGCGAAGGCGGCGCUCUGGAACAUUUCUGACGCUGAGGCUCGAAAGCGUGGGGAGCAAACAGGAUUAGAUACCCUGGUAGUCCACGCCUUAAACGAUGGAUACUAAGUGUCGGCGGGUUACCGCCGGUGCCGCAGCUAACGCAUUAAGUAUCCCGCCUGGGAAGUACGGCCGCAAGGUUGAAACUCAAAUGAAUUGAC
rnacentral:rRNA from 1 species